rnacentral:rRNA from 1 species
ACUCCUACGGGAGGCAGCAGUGGGGAAUAUUGCACAAUGGGCGCAAGCCUGAUGCAGCCAUGCCGCGUGUGUGAAGAAGGCCUUCGGGUUGUAAAGCACUUUCAGUUGUGAGGAAAGGUUAGUCGCUAAUAUCGGCUAGCUGUGACGUUAGCAACAGAAGAAGCACCGCUACUCGUGCCAGCAGCCGCGGUAAUACGGAGGGUGCGAGCGUUAAUCGGAAUUACUGGGCGUAAAGCGUGCGCAGGCGGUCUGUUAAGCGAGAUGUGAAAG